rnacentral:misc_RNA from 1 species
GAUGUGGAAGUCAUACGGUGGACAUGGCGAGAGUCGUGGCCACGGUGACAUAUGUGCUCCGGGAGUGUGGUUGGUAGUAGUACUGGCUGUGCGACCGGUCGGCAUAGACGCUGUAAUUGUAUUUUAUUGUAUAUUAGACAGAAAACAAGA